UGCCCAUUAUUCUGGCUUCCCCAUGAAAACCUUCUAGAAUGCUGGCUCGGAUCACAAAGCACAAAGCAGUGCCUGUUCAUCCUUUUGGCUGGCUGGCUGAGUUGAGCACAGGGUCACUCAUUUUCCACAGACAUUCAGUGGCCCAUGCUGAAUUUAGUUUGGUGGAAAAGACAUCUUCCCCUGUGCUGGACAGUGUGCUUGGGACUCCUGCGUGUUCUUCAGCUACUGUGACAGAAUGUCAUGAGGGGAGGCUGGAGCUGUGGCUCUGUCUAUUUUGCAAAGGUGAAGAAUCUUCUCAUCAACCUACCUCAAAGGUGUUCUUGGUCAUGCCCGAGAGACCAUAAUAUGACGUUCCUGUGGCAACUGCACAGACACAGAGCUCCCCAAUUUCAUCCGUCCUGCACAGCUGAGGCACCCCAUCCGGCUUCACUGAACACAUGAUGGCUAAAGAACGCUAUACUGAUUGAUUAACAUGGCUUGCUGGGGUUUGUUGAGCUUUUGGUCUGAAGUUUGGAAGAAAUCCAAUAGAAGGUUGUUGGCACUGGUAAGUACCAUAGGCUAUUUAUCAUAACGUGAUGAAGGAUACACAUGUCAGGUUGGAGGAAGCAUGCUGACCUCCUACAUCUUUCUUUCUUAUGUCAUUAUUGUCAUGUGACAAUAAUCUCAACUAAUCCUAAUCAUCCUCCAAAGGCCUUGUCUCCAGACACUAUUAACACAUAGAUUAGGGGACCAAGUUUCUCCCAAAACCCAAAAUACAGAACUCAGUAAACAAAUGUAUCCUACAGGAAGCCGGAGCAUAAGGAUUUGACUUCCUGAUGUCACCUACCUGACCCUCAUGUAAACAGAGAUGAACGCAUACAGACACAGAGAGAUGAGUUUAUGGGCUCCUCUUGCUACUUCCUGUUCUUUAACAGCAACAUGCCAUAUUAAUACUGCUCAUUCUGCUUGGAGACUCCCUUUCUCUGAGAACACCGACCAUUUUAGUCAAAGCCCUCAUCUGUGACUGGCAACCCCAGUGGAGACACACUACCCUAUGGCUGGCUGUCAUCUGCUCCACUUCCACAGCGUUCACCAGGGUCCUCUGCUGGCUCUUGGAAACAUCUCUGCAUUCUGUCCAUCCCCCAAGCAGGGUACUAGAGGCCUCAUUCAUUAUACAUGACCUAGAACCUUCAAAUACGGUCUCUUUUGAGCAAGAGGCAUUCAGUAUUUUUACAAGAAAAAACCCACAGUAAGAUACUCAACAGUGGACCAUGGUUACCACAUCACCAGGUCUGAAGCUUUGGGGAAGACUUGACUUUUCACAUCUCCAUAAAUCUGCAUGUCCUCACUGGAACCCAUGGCCAAGCCACAGGGGCCACCUAAACAGCUUUCUUAUAACUCUCCCAGCCAAUUUAAUUUGUGAUCCGACCCCCUCUUCUUUUUUUUAAAAAGAACUACAAACUGAUAGAUGUGCCAAAGGCCAAACCAAUCUGCCAAGAGUGCACAAAUGCAUCCGCAAUUUUACCUUCACUGAUUACCAUAGAUAAUAAGCAUCUUUUAAUUAAGUGGACUAAAAGCCAGGCAAGCAAUCAGCUGUACUGAUGUUUACUGGAAGUUCAAUUUCUCUUUCAUUACCAAAGCAGAAUAAGCUGUCCCUGGAAGAUUAUUAAACAUGGGACACAAUUUGGUUUAGAUGACAACAUAGAAGAAAUGUCAGUCCUAACCACUUCAAGCCAGAGUAAUUAGUCCUCUGAAGUCUUUUUUCUACAACAGAACAGAAAAUCUAAUAGCCAAAUACUUGUUUUCCUUUAAAAAUCGCAAGUAUUAUGCAAAAUACACAUAAUUAUAUGGAUGGUCAACUUGAUUGGAUUAUGAAACACUUUGGAUACUAGUAAGACACACCUUUGGGUAUGUCCAAGCGGUCAUAUCCAGGGUGGAUUAACUGAAGAGAGAAGUUAAAUAGAAGAUCCUCCUUAAAUGUGGACAGUACCAUCCCAUGGGCUGGGAUCCCAGACUGAAUCAAAGGGGAGAAAAUGAGAGAGCAGAGUCCCAUUAUUCCCUGCCCUCUGCUUCCUGGUCUUUUGAGAAGUGAGCAAGCAGCUGUUUCAUGUUCCUAUCACCAGGCAGCUGCCUAUGACCAUGAUUUUCCUACCAUGAUAAGCCAUGACCCCUUAGACCAGGAACCAAUGUGAUUAUCUCCUUUAAGUUGCUUCUGGUUAGGUAUUUAACAAUGAAAGCAUUGAAAACAAUUCACCAUGAGCAUUCUAACCCCUUCUAUACUGUGCUAUACAACAUUCUUUAAGAAAGUCCCCUUUUAUCUUUAUACUAAAAUCUUUAAUGAAGCUUUUCACAGCCCCACAUAAAAUAGUUUCAUAGGAUAUAUCAAAGUUCUUUUCUUUAACCUAGUAAUUUAGCCUCAGAACUCUUGCAUAUGAAAAAUUCAUGUCAAGUCUUCAGAGAAUGUUUUGGAGAAGGUGGUAUGCCAUCAGCACAAAUGCAGUGAAAGUCACUUAUGUCAGCUCAUUUCCCCAAAACAGUAAUCCAUAUCAUCCUAUACAUAGCACACAACAUUCACAUGAGACAUCAGCCAGAGGACACUUUUCUAUGUUCACAUAUUAUAGAAACAACCCACAGAGAAUGUUACAAUGAAUGCCAAGUACGUACACUACUGCCAUCGAAUAUAUCCAGGAACAGAUUGAAUAAAGAGUGAGAAGAAACAGAGUUUAAACUGAGAAACUUCUCAUAACAGCCAAUUUACGGAAAUAACCUAGGAGUCUAACGAUAGAGCAAAGCAAAAGAAAGUGUGGCAUACAUUCACAGUAGGAUUGCUUUAUUGCCACAAAAAAGAGUAAUCUUAGGUUGUAUGGAAGCACAGCUUAGGACGAGCAUUGGAGAAACCUGGAUUGUCAAUUACAGGUCUAUUUUUUUCGACAGAAGGAAAUGACACCUACUCACCUGGAAUACCAGAGAGAAAACUGGUCUGUCAACCUGGUUACUCUUUGCUUUUCUAUUAGGAGCCAGCCUCUACCAGAAAUCCCCAAUAUCCUGAGCAUUGCUCAAGGCCCUAAUCCUGAAGUUAAUAAAACUCAUAUACACUAUGAAUGAGGCCCCAAGCAUAUUGCAUCCUUCACAAAUAGAAUCUAUCCCUAUGUUUAACACAGAUCCUUCCCCUAGGCCAACCAUUCUCAAUCUGUGGGUCACGACCCUUUUGCGGGGAGGGUCACACAUCAGACAUCCCACAUAACUGAUAUUUACAAUUCAUAACAGUAGCAAAAUUAUGAAGUAGCAACAAAAUAAUUUUAUGGUAAGGAUUACCAUAAUAUGAAGAACUGUAUUAAAGGAUCACAGCAUUAGGAAAGUUGAAAACCGCUGCUCUAGGCCCUAUCCCUGAACUCUGUCUAUCAGUCAAUAGAAUUCAUUCUAUUGUAAGGGUCACAGGUUACAAGUUCUACUAUGUUUAAAUGUAUAAUAAAUCAUUAAGGUCAGUCUCUAGAAAGAUACAACCCAGUGCCUGUAAAGGUGGUACACUGCCUUCAGUUUUACUCUUCACCUCUAGUGGAUAGUUUCCCUACAGGCUGGGAAGCUUGCAGGGUAGAAGGGCAGGGGGAUAAGAGUUGGGGGAGUAGGAGGUAUAUAAGGAGGUAUUCCCACAAAGUUAUUUGUAAGAAAAAUCAAUGCAACUGGAGAUAAUCACAUUAAAUAAAGUUAGUUGGUCUCAAAGGACAAAUACUUUGUUUUCUUGUUUGUGGUUCCUAGAUUUUAUAUAGUCAUAUAAAGGAAUAUAUAUAUAUUAAUUAAAUGAAAGGAGAAGUAAUGUUUAAGGGAACAAAAGGCUUAAUUGGAAUAAGGAGGGUUGAAGAAAGGAAGAUUGGAAGAACAGGGUGGGGAGCAGAAUGCAUUCAAAGUAUGAAAUAUAUCUUUAAGAAAAUAAAUACAUUCAAUGCUGAAAGGAGUUAUCUCUUGCAGUCAGUUGUCUCAGGAGUGUAAUCCCAGUAGUUAAUUAAAAAGUUCAUCCGCUUACAACACCAUCAUUAGUUUAAACAUGCAUAAGAAUUAAGCAAGGAAGCAGCUCUUUUGGUAAGACUGAAGAAUGUGAUCAGAAUACAAGGGAAAUGCCAGAGACUAGGCCUGGGACUCAAAGAAAAACUUAGAUGUUUUUUAUAGUUUUUCCUGAUUCAACUUUAAAAACUAAAAUCAUAGCUUAUCUAUUUCUGGUCUUUAAUUUGCUCCUGAACCUUGGGAUCGAUGUCAAUCAGAAAGCUGGGGCAUUUGAUAACAUCACUACCCAAACAGGGAGGAGGAAAGCGGAGAAGGGCCAUUACCUGCCAUGUCCAAAAACCUGUCAUGACAGUGUACCCAUAGGCCAUGGAGUUACGUGUGUCCAAAGCUGGGGAAAUUAUGCAAACACUUCUUUCUGGUUCAUUAUUUCUUUCUAUAAACUAGACAACCAUGGACGUUCCACAGCUUUAUAGGACAAUGUGAAGUCCUCUCCCUGGUAGGGCCCUCACGGCUGGAGAUCCUGCACGUGUUCACCACUCCGCAGCAAUGCAAUGAGUCCUUUCUUUUGCCCAGAGUGUGACUGAGAGCAAACCUCCUCAGGCAGUCACCCAAGACCUCUACCCACUAGUUCUCCCCCACCAAAGUGUCCUCUGGAUAGGCUGGGAGGCUGCAGACAGCUGAUGGCAUAGCACACUGCAUUCAUGCUGGAGCUGAUUUUCACAAGACCAUGACACAAGAAUCGUCAGCCUAUAGGCAACACACUACGUCAUUUGGUGAAAUAGAAGCAAAUAAAUAAAAAUACACGAUGGCACACCGUUCCACUGUGUAAGCUGUAAACAAUGUUCAUAAAGUAUGUAUAAACUCCCAAGAAAAAGCAUGGUCCACAACAGCCUCUCCUAGAAAAUGAUGUAGGGUUAUCACACAUAUAGGAGGGAAUGGAAAGUAUGUAUAUUUGAAUACUAUUUUUACUCAUUUAUCUAAAAGUAAUUAGGUACCAACUAGCUACAAGGUAGAGGGACCCAGAAAGGGAUGAAUAAAUGUACCAGUAAGUGGCGCGGCCACUGAGUGAAGUCAGUAAUUCUUGGCAACAGCAGAGCUAGAGAGGAAGGCUCUGCAAGUAUGGAUGGAGUGGCCAGGUCACCUAGGCUGAGUGGAAAGGUGGUGAACUUGGAGAGUGCCUUGAGGAUUAGAAGGGGGAAGGUAUGCUUCUCCAGACUCAUCUAAAUGAGAUACCUGAACCUGCCCCGGCCUUGGGCUGAGUGUGGUUGGUGAAAGGGAGGGAGGGAGGAGACCAGUUAGAUAAAUUAUCAAACACUUUCAAUAGUACAAGGGCAUUUACAUGCUUAUUCUACUAAAAACACUAAGCAGGAAUGAAUACUGGUGACUAAUGCUUUAAUGAGAAUCACAUCCCGAGUGCCUCCCACGUGUUACUGACAUGAAAGCAACACUGUAUGGUAAGAACGGGGAGACAGGAUACCCAAAACAACAGGUGGCAUCUGGUCCUCAAGGACUCCUGGAUCAGAUCCCAAGUCUUGGUGAAUGGUGAGAACUACCAAAGAUGACAGGCAAGAGAAAGACAGACAGUAGACUGAGUCUCCACAAGCCACCAGGUUGCCCCUCAUGACCACGCCUGACACUAGCAACAGCUGUGACGAGGCUUACUAGGAAGCAGAGGUACUACAGUGUGCAUUUACAGGGGAAGCCCUAUUGUUUUAAGGGCCUUGGUCCACAUACAUAAUUGACACAACCAGAAAGUCAGCAGGCCUUAUAAUAUGACUCCUUUAUAAAAUAAAAGUAUUGGUGAAGUUUAAAAUAAAAUUGCUAUGGAGAAGAAAAUGGCUUAGAUGUGAAAGUGUUUGCCAUGGAACCUGCUGUUCUACUCCAGGACUUACAGAUACAAUGGCAAGUAUCUGUAAACCCAGUACCCUUCGAGUGAGACAAAUCAGCAGGAAGCUUAUGGGCUGGCUAGCCUGGAGUAUGCAUCACAGAAAGGACCCUGCCUCAACAUGAUAGCAGGAAACUGAUGCCCAACAGUUGCCCCUACAUGCAGGCUGUGAUAUAUGCAUCACGGUUCAUGUGCCCUCUCUUAGACGAUAAUGAAAGACAAAAGGCAAACACUUAGAAGAACAAACUAUAACAUAGUGAACUCUAGGGAACUCAUAUCAAACCCGACUGAAAACUCAUUAAAGACACAGCUGCAUUUUUUCUAUGUUUUAAAAACACUGACAUGAUAGUACUGAGACAAAUGUAAGCAGUACAAUGUAGAACCCCUACCCUGAUCUCACUCUCCUACCCUUAUGCAAUGAAUGAGGACCUUUCCAUGUUACCAUUCUGGCCUUCCAUGAAGGUCCUGGACAGACACCUCUCUACCUGGUCAGGAACCAAGGGCCCUUCACUGGCUCUCUUGGGCCCUGGGCCAACCUCUCUGACAGAAGUGUAAAGGAAGGACACAGGAAAGUUCAAGAAGAAAGUGCAUAGCAAUUCCCACAUAACCAAAGGAGGAGAGAGGAAAUGGUCAGUUCCUCUACAUCCUUCAUCCAUGAUGUUAGUCUUGAAAUAAUCUCAUCAGAAAUUGGAAGUGAGGAUGCUAAAUAGAAGAGACAUGUAAAACUAAAUUGGGACAUAGCUGAUGAAAUAAGUUUUCCCACCCAUAAGAUACAAGUGCUACUGAAUAGAAGCAUUAGCCAAAGCAGAAACUAGUAAAUAAUAAUAUAUUAAUAAUAAUAAUAAUAAUAAUAAUAAUAAUAAUAAUAAUAAAAGUAACCUAAAGUCUGUCAGAAGACGUCUCAAUUCCAGCAGUCACUACAGAACUCCUUUAAGAGACAGGACUGACCCUGGACUCUGACCUCAUAGGUAGCAAUGAAUAUCCUAGUAAGAGCACCAGUGGAAGGGGAAGCCCUGGGUCCUCUCAAGGCUGGACCCCCCAGUGAACGGGAUUCUUGAGGGGAGGGUGGUAAUUGGGGGAGGAUGAGGAGGGGAACACCCAUAUAGAAGGGAGGGGGAGGGGUUAGGGAUGUUGGCCUGGAAAAUGGGAAAGGGAAUAACAUUUGAAAUGUAAAUAAGAAAUACCCAACUUAAUAAAGAUGGAGAAAAAAAAAAGAGAGACAGGGUAAGUAGCACAUCAUCUCAAAAUCAAACAUGUUGCUGACAUGUGGGGAAUAUCUGACUUGCCUAGAGAUAUGCAUGUGUAGAGAAUGUGAAUGUGUAUUAUUAGUGUGGAGUAGGGUAUAUGAUGUCCCUUUUGAAGUAAGCUAAUUGUGAUGCUAGGUUUUUGGUGGGGUUUCAUUCAUGGACAACACUAGGAACACUGAGAUUUCUAAAACACUGUGCACUUACAAACAGCACCUGGCCAAAAUGGCGAAUGCUUGCUGUACCUGAAAACCUGGGUCUUACAGAUUCCCAAACACAUGCUGGCAGAUGUAUUUUCGGUUAAAGCAAACACAAUUGAUUAAGAAGAGGGUAUUCUUAACAGCAACUCCACUUGGCUGCUCUCUGAGGAGCUCCUGAGAGACUAGGCAGUGUCUGUUACUUGGAGUGCAUUUGACAUCAUCAUGGUGUGUCGGGGGUAGAAAUGUAGGACAUUUAUGUAGAAAUGCUUCUGGUUGUACUAGUUUGAAGUUGUAUACAAGAUGUACAUUAAGUUUAUCCAAAUGAAUAUUUGUACUAUUCAAAGUUUUCAUACAGUAUUUGCUUUGAUGAGUAAUUUUCCAGUUAGCUCUUUAUCAUUUAUCCACUUUAUAUAAACACUGCUCAAAUUGCACCAUCAAGUCUACUUUAAUUUUUUCUCUGCAGACUUCAGGUGCUCUAGAAGCAUGCCAAUUCAGCUAGACUGGCUAGAUGACACGCCCCAGCAUCCCCCUUCCCUGCCCUCCCAGCUAUGGGGUUACACAUGUGCACCUCCAUGCCAGCUUCUGUGGGUGCCACAGGUCUGAACGCAGGGCUGCAUGCUCACGUAGCGUCACUUUACCCGCUGAUCGGCUCACCAGGCCUAUGGAGCAGUCAUUUUCAGUGGAAGCUAUGAAAGCUGUGAUUUUGUUAAAUAGAUUUCUUAGUGACACUUCUACACUUGAGCUUCUUCCUAAAUGCCGGGGUAACAGUACAGGCUUGGUUUUUAAAAAGCUCUCCAAAUAGGUUUAAUCCAUGGGACAAAAAUUAAACGUCUGUCCAGUUUUAAGCCAUUAUGAAUUUAUAUGAAACCAUCUUCCAGAAAAGCUGACAGAUACCCAGAUGUACCAUAGAGAAUGUGGUGAGGAACAGGAGCUAAUGAUAAUUUCACUGGCAAAUCUGAAUUGAAUUACUUAUAUAUAAAACAGCAAGCCAUUCGGUAGAGGUUAGUAAUCAGGAUAUUGUUUUGAUCAUUAUAGACAAAGCUUGUCUGUACACAUUAUUCUAGAAACCAUUAGAAGUCACAGAAAACCAUACUGUUUCUCCCAUGAGGUUAACUAAGUUGCCCAAAAAGAUAUGUUAUGUGUAACUCAGCAACAAGACAACUGUCAGUGCCACUGAGAGGAGCCUAGGAGUCUGUAGCAACCUUCAUUUUGGCUGAACCAGUUAUAAGUCAUCAACCCAGAUGCAAGCCAUACUUGAAUGUGACUGCUGUCUGACCCACACACAGUUCUAAUUUAUCCUGAGCUUUUUCGGAAACUAAAUACCACAUCUUAUUUUUGGAAAGAUUAUUUCUGUUUGUAAAGGCUGAGGCUUUGAAAAUACUUUUCAAAAAAAAAAAAAGGAAAUUAAAAUACAAAUAGGCCUAACUUUUCAAAAGCACAUACAUACGACACAUACAAUAUGAGUUCCAGCACAGCACAAGGUAGUGUGGACUCUUAGCAUUAUAGGAACCCCAUAGACCUCUUGGAGCAGGCAUCACUGGUUCUUAUUCUGAGCAUGGAGUCUCUCUCUGGACCCGCAGCUCACCAAUUUGGCUAGACUGGCUGGCCAGAAAGCACCAAGGUUUGCUUGUCUCAAACUCGCCAGCAUUGGGCUGUAGCUGUGGACCACUGCAUCCAGCUGUUACACAGCUGUGAGGAGCUGAGCUCAGACCAUCAUGUCUGUGUGGCAAGCCCAUCACCAACUAAGCUAUCUAAGGCCUUCACUGAUUCUUUGUUGCACCAUAGGCAAGUGUGUUUCUCCAAGUUUGCAUAUCAUCCAAAAAUUACUCACGGCAUUAUUUAGAAAUAAAGUGUUAGUUUCAGAAACUAUACUAUAAUUUUUAACAUUACUCAGACUGCUACUUUAAGGGUUUCUAGUCUGGGUUGAUGAAAGACAGUUUUGCCAGAUAUGGUGGUACACACCUGUAAUCCUGGCACUUAUGAUACCCUGAAGUUCAAAGUCAGUCUGGGCUACACAGCGAGUCUAAAUCCAAUGUUAUAAUAAAAAUGAUAAAAAUGUAAAAGAAAUAGUUUCAUCUCUGGUUACAUGCACUUAUAUUUCUGAAAUCCAUCAUGAAGAGAUAAUUAUCAUUUGUUGUACUUGUGAAUGCUUCAUGUGGAUAAAACACUUAAAACCCUAUCUUUUCAGAGUUGGGAAAGAACUAUGAUGGUGGAAUGCUUGUCAAAUAGGUGGAAUCCUAGGUUUAACCCUCAAUACCAUCAAAAAGCAAAUAAAAGACAUGCCUAUACAUGUUUUACAAGUUGAGAAUCUCUGACCCAAAAUGCUUGGAAUAAGAAAUGCUCUGAAAUUUGGCCACUGCCUUGAUUUUCAAAAUCUUCAUACGCACAAUAUUUUGGCAUGGGAAAUAUGUAUAAGCACAACAUUUGUUUAUAUUAUAUAUAUUAUUCCUAUAGUGCAAAAAUAAUUCAACAUGUAUUUAAAAGUUGUGUAUGAAAACAGUAGGUAUAAAUUGAGGUUUUAGAAAAGAGGAGUCAUCAUUUUAGUCACCCAUAUAGAUGAUCUGUGAUUGUCUGGUGUCACCAUCACUUCUCUCUGCUACCAACAAGCAACAACAUUUGCACGAUUACCACAGGUAAGUAUUUAGCAGUACAAAAUAGGGCACCCCAUUAUUACAGGAAACAAUGACUGUGUCAGCAUAAGUAAUAUGCCUAUUGUCCUCAAUCUCUGUAGCACCUGUCAGCAGUCAACAAUGGCAGCCAGCUACCCCCACCUGCGAAGGGUUUUUUGUUUUGUUUUUUAAAAACAGAAAAGUGACCACACAUUUUGUUUGGUAGGAUGCAUCAGAAGCAGCAGGAAGUCAGCAAGAAUCUUCUCCAGGAACAAGAAGGCAGCUGCCAGAUGUGUGCUUAAAAUGUUUCCUCUGGAGCCAUUGAUCUCAUGAACAGGAAUCUGAUAGAUGUAUCGUAUAGCCACAAAUGACUGCUGUUUAGUCAGUCCAUCUCGCCUUCUCACCACGCCAUCGUUGGCACUUCUUAGUAUUAUGGCUACCACUAACACCACAAUCACCUCUUCUACCAUCUUCCAUAAAUGGGCAACUGGAGCCUCUGAUGGGAAAAAAAAGCUCAAUAUCCACUUCCUCCAGCUGA